CGCCGCUUCACCACCUCCUGCAAUUUGUGAGAACGCGAUAGCAGGAGAUUCAGUUCUCGGCUUGCUCGUCCCUCGACGACGAGACCGCCAAGCGGCUGCACCUCCUCCGGUCACCAAGCAGCAGCGCCCUCCACGCUAGACCCCAAGUGGUGGUGCCUAAGGCUAGGGCAACGACAGCGCAACAGAUCUGACUCCCUCGCCCUGUGGCCCCAACCAGCGGCGCCCUCAAUCCGAGCGGUGACAAGCAACAACGGUACCCUUGCCCUCGGAUCUGACUCCAACGCCGGUAGAUCGGGCACCUCACCUCUUCUCCACCUUGUUUUGGGGCUACAACAGUAGAUCAGGCUGCGUCGACACUCGAGGUGGAACGAGACCUUGGUGGAGGCAUCAAGAAAGAAGAAGCUUUCCAAUGAUGUGGGAAAAUGGAUAAGCAAGUUUAUGCCUCCCAGAAUGUGUAAGUCCAUUGACAGAGAUGGAGAAAGAUUAUUGAUAUUGAAAUACAAGAAGCCCCUCAUGAAGAUUCUAGUUCUUCUUCCCUCAAAAAAGACUCUAGUCCUUUAGAGCCUGGAUCAAACAAUAUGAAGCCAUAUUUUAUAAAGUGGCCCUACUGC